UACCGGACUAGAGGACGGUAGAGGAAGGUGGAAUUCCCGGUGUAGUGGUGAAAUGCGUAGAUAUCGGGAGGAACACCAGUGGCGAAGGCGGCCUUCUGGGCCGUUCCUGACGCUCAGACGCGAAAGCUAGGGUAGCAAACGGGAUUAGAGACCCCGGUAGUCCUAGCCGUAAACGAUGCAAACUUGGCGUCGGUGGGUUAAUAUCCAGCGGUGCCGAAGCUAACGCGAUAAGUUUGCCGCCUGGGGACUACGGCCGCAAGGUUAAAACUCAAAGGAAUUGACGGGUCCCCGCACAAGCAGCGGAGCGUGUGGUUUAAUUCGAUGUUACACGAAGAACCUUACCCGGGUUUGACAUGUGGGUGGUAGGGAUCCGAAAGGUGACCGACCCGCAAGGGAGCCCUCACAGGUGCUGCAUGGCUGUCGUCAGCUCGUGUCGUGAGAUGUUCGGUUAAGUCCGAUAACGAGCGCAACCCUCGCCGUAUGUUACAAGUGUCAUACGGGACCGCCGGUAUCAAGCCGGAGGAAGGUGGGGAUGACGUCAAGUCAGCAUGGCCUUUAUAUCCGGGGCUACACACACGCUACAAUGGCCGGUACAAUGGGUUGCUAAGCCGCGAGGUAGAGCCAAUCCCCAAAGCCGGUCUCAGUUCAGAUUGCAGGCUGCAACCCGCCUGCAUGAAGUCGGAGUUGCUAGUAACCGCGCGUCAGCUAUAGUGCGGUGAAUACGUUCUCGGGGAUUGUACACACCGCCCGU
rnacentral:rRNA from 1 species